GUCAAAUUUCAGUGAUCGGAAAUGUCUUGCCCAAAAGCAAUUCCCGCUGGAAAAAGUCAAAAGGGUUCCUGGCAUUAAAAAGACCUUGCGUCAUUCCUGAUGAAAUUAGCAGCGUCGCAUGUUUAGGGACUGCUAUGGAUGCACUUUGGUCAAAGUGAAGAGGCAGGGAUUUGGGGUUUAAGCCCCCGUCUGGUCAGUAGCCGUCUGCUUUCACUGGCUGCGAACCCCGGGACCAGCACUUGAAAGCAUCUCAGACCCGCAGUCCAUUUUUUACUUGUCUUUAAGUGCAUGCGAUGGGAAUUGCUAACCUCGGCUAAGGAAAUUUCAUUUCCCCUAUCCUGCUAAACGGUUCUGGUCGACAUAUGUUUGUUAUCAGAGAGAAGUGCUAUGAACACAGAGCCAUUUUCUUAGCAGCUCUUUGACUCUGCGUUACCAUAGUCCCACACGGCAUUGGUCCUUUCCCGUUGGGAAGUCAUGAAUAAGAGACUAUGAGGCUUGCACGUCAGAUCUUCCUCAAUUAAUCCACCAUUAGCAUGUUUGGGAUCCUCUACUGGAUGGUUAACAGCAGCUUUGGUAACUGUAUGCUGUCCAUACCCAAUUAUGCUCUGCUAAAAAUGAACUCUGCAGAACAACCUUCCUGAGCUGUCAGUGUCUCCCGUUUUCCUAUUUUAACGCUUGUGUGUAGUGGCAGGCGACAGAUGGUGUAGAUCAGAUCGAUUUGAUUGCAUUAGACGAUUUUUUUUCCCUCCUCUCCCCCCCGACUCCUUUUCUGGAAGCCCACAUUCAGCUGAGAGGCGACCGCCGGGGACACGGGAAGCGAGAGCAGCCGCCGAGGUGCGAAUGCAGCGAGCCGCGGCCGUGGAGGCGCCGGGUCCUGCCCGGGUGGAUCCGUGCUAAUCCGGCGCCGGGAGGGAGCAGCUUCUGCCUCCCGGAGCCCGUCCCCAGCGCACGUCAGAUGACUCCCCGGUUUUACACACGGUUGGAGUUCUGCUCGAAACCUGGAUUUAAAGGGAAUCUGUUGCCGUGUGUGACAUCUCUUGCGAGCUCCCAGAGAGAACUGAUGGAGCAUACAGCUAGGGAAUAGGAUGCUGGAGAAGCUCAGGGGGAGACGCCAGGCAAUCACCAGGACGGGGAGGAACGGCGCUCGUUGGAUAUGGGACGAGAUCUCGCAGCCCUUGUGGAUUCUCCUUCCUCUAGAGGGGAAUUAUAGUUAUGGAUUUAUUGUCCCGGUGCAGCACUUCCACCAGCGGCAGCAGCAACAGCAGCAGCUUUCUGACUCUCUUCGGUGACGGGUAUUCUUGGGUGGAUAAUACGGAUUACGUUGUUAUUGCUUAAGAAUACGCGUAGUCGAGGAGAGUACCGGCGGCGGGCAGGCAGGCAGGCAGCGCGACCGCCCCCAGCCCUCCAGCUGGCUCCUACAGCCUCUAGUUGCCAAGGUGAGCCCCAGACCUGCCCGUGGUCAGCACUCUCUGACUUCGGCCCCACCAUGUAGAUGGAGCAACGUCCUGUGUGCCCGGCUGCUGCAUGGAGCUGCCCAUGUGCUGGCACCCUGACCCAGCAGAGAUGCUGCCAGUGCCGGCUCCACCCUGCUCGCUGCUGCCUGCCCACCUGUCUCCUUCCCCCAAGCCAUGGCCCACACCACCACCACCACCGGCAUCUCCGUCGCUACCCACAGCACAAAUGCAACAUGGAACAGCGAGUGUGGCUUGAGCAGGCUGAGCUUGUUAAAAUUGCAGUUAAAUAAAUUGUAGGGCUGUAAUACUGGGAGGCUGAUUGGGAUCACAAGAUAUCGGUGUCAUAUCCUGUGGCUUUUAUGUAGUGAGAUGUAGAUUUUUGCCAUCACCAUCUGGCUAUCCAACAGAUAACAACCAGAGAAAAUGGACUUGCAAAUCUCCAGUUGUGAAUAACUGAUAUAUUGUUGCCAGUAAAACGAGGACCUGGUAAACUGCCAGAAGGAAAAGUUUUUUUGAGUAUGAUCAGACUUUUAAUAUGUGUCAGCUUUUGCCUAUGUGUAAAUUAAAGAAACUCCCUAAUUACCAUACAUUUUAAACAGUGUGUCUAGAGAACUCUGGUCCUGUAGAACCCAGAUGUGGCUAUGUUAUCAGCUUCAAAUUCAGGCAAGUAAAUAAAGUAGCAAAUGUACGACUCAACUGGUGUAUCUGCACAGUACAGAUCAUCUAGGUGUGGGUUAAAUGCUAUGAGGAAAGAACAAGAAAUAAGCAAAAAAUACAGUAGUGUAGAAUAUGCAUGUUCUUAACUUCUAGAAAAUCUCAACAGCUGGAAUUUUAGAAUGUGAUAUUUAGACAAAUGUAAAGAGAGAAACAGUGUGUUUUUCUCUGGAGAAAAAUGUAAUAGGUGUACAGAUCAAAUUAUAACACUUAGUCCUUCUAGGACAAAUUCCAGUUGGGGAUCGUGAAGUAAUCUGAAAAUAUUAAUGAUUUAGCCUCACAGCUAGAUUUCAGGUAGAUAAUAAUAAUUAUUGCUACAAAUAAUUUCCUUCAUUCUUGCUCUGAAAUGAAAAUUGAGGCAUAGAGGUUUUAUGUAUUUGUCCAAAGUCCAUUUUACUGCUGUAACCAUCCUUCUAUAGAUUUACUUCGUAUUAAGUAUGCCCUUUUCCAAAUAUUGUAUGUGAUAUACUAUUCAGUUCAUGAAUUCUAAAAAACAAGCAGCUGAUCUUCCUUAUGAAGCAGUGCCUGUGAACAUCUCCAUUUGCAUUUGAAUCCUCAAGCAGUGACAAUCCUGCUUAAAAAAAAAAAAGAAAAAGAAAAAGGGAAUGAUGAAAAUCAGAACAAAAUCUGUCAAGGGCCCAUCUGUGACUGCAUAUCAGAAUAUCACUAAGAUGCUCUGAGGAACAAAGUUGUCUCCAAGUCUAACACAUAGUGCUUUUGUCUACGGAAAUAAUUCAAGAUGGGUGAAAUGAGGGCAAAUAACAUGAAAAACUGUUUCCCUACUGAACAGUCCUGGAAAGCAGCACCUUUGUUUCAUGGAUAAUCUUGUUUGUGAUACACGUACCAGUGCUUAGAUACUAAAGGUUUUACAUGACGAAAUACUCAGCAUGCCCAUAUCUGCUUCAGAUAAGCAUGCAUAGCUGUUGCUUCCAGUCAAGAGUCAGGGAGCCAGGGGUCUUUGGCCCUGGCAGGUGAGAACUUGGGUUAGGUAUGUCUGUGGCAAGCUUUCAUAGCCUGCUACCUGAAGCACUGGGGAAACAAAAGGAUAGACUCCACCCUGGACUUAACAAUACUCUUGAAACCACAUCUAUUUCCUUCUAAAUAGGAACACAUAAAGUUAGGAAAACCUAUUUGUAAGCUAUUUAUAUGUCCUCUUCAGGAUCUGAAUUCCUGCAAGCCUUAGUCAUAGCUCUUUGCUCUCACAUAUGCAAUAUCUGGAACUGACAACUGGAAAUAGGAGAAACAUGGCAUUAAUGUUGUUCUAAUGCACUGUGGGUUUUUUUUCCUUCUAUUUCUUAACUGUUACAGUAUGCAAAUAUUUAGUUAACUGGUCCUCAUGGUUUCUUUUUAUUGAAUUGCUUUCACUAUGGCAAAUAAAUAUUCAUAAAGAAAUGUGGACAAUAAAUCAUUUCCAAUAGUUCAAACCAUUUUCUUUCUAGACUGCAUAUAUAUUCAGCUGUGACUUGCCUUUAAUAUUUAAUUCAAAAGACAGACUUGUAGAAGGACAAUAGAGAUAAUGUGUCAAGCAAUAAUUAAAACAGGGGGUAUGAUUAAAACCAUUUUGAUCUACACUGUGCUCUGUCAAACUCAUAAUCUGCCAUGUUUGCUUAGAUGAUUCUCCACUUGCUUUGUAUGGAACCCAAAAUAAACUUUUGUUUGAAGAUACUGCACAGAACAAAAGAUUUCAACCCUAAGCUUUUGGGACCUGGAGACCUUCCCUGCUCUGGGCUUUGGGUAUGUCUUCUCUAUCAUCCUCACAAGACAAAUCUCAGGCAGCCAUCAUCCCUCAAUUUAACAUGGUGACUUCCCUCGGAAGUAGGUCCAUAUACGUGGCACAAUACAACUAGGGGACAAUCCAAUGUAACCUGGUUCACCAUUUAGACUGAAGCUAAGAGCUCCAAAAGAAGUGCAAGUUAAAGAUACAGGGAGUUUAUACACUUGGGGACCCUGGUUCAAAUUCAAAUUCAAAUAAGAGUGAUAUUUCUUGUUUCACUGUGUGUUUUGGCCACCAAAAUACACCUUGUAUUUGUCCCAGCUUCAUUAUCUUUUCUGAUUUGUUGCUGAUUUUGGGCCAUAACUCAAUAGAGCACUUAUGUACAGACUUAAAGAAAUUGAUUUAAGAAAACACUACUCUGUUUAAUCCUGGGCAGACAUUCAACUUUGAAAUCAAUGGGACUUAUGAACAGCCCUGACCUUGGGGUCUAAAUGGUUGCUGAAUCAGUGCAUUGACAGAAACAUACUGGAAAAGAUAAUAUCCAUGUCUAAUCAGAAUGAUCGUCUCUACUUUCAUGGGAAAUUACCCAUAGAUAACACAUUAUUCUGCUCAAGAAAUCCAUUUUAUAGCAGUUAUUAGAAAACCUUAACACAUUUUCUGUUUGUCAGACAUACUAGGUGAACAGUGUCUCUCCUUGAUAGUGUAUCUGAACUAUACUUCAAAUGAAAAAAUAAAUUACAGGAAAAGUGCUGUCACAAGGGACCAUUUCUAAUUAUUUACUGAGUCUUUCCCAGUUGCCUGCUAUGUGCCAGACUUUUGGGAAACAUGUGGACAGAAGACAAAGCAGUGCGGUUCUGAAAUCCCACGGACUCAGUCAAAGACAAUAGCACAUGAAAUACCAUGUUAUGCAAUAUCACGUAAACAAAGCUAUCUCCUAAGAACUGCACUCACAAGGGAUGCCUGCCCAGUCUACAUAUAGAAUUCUAAGUGAACACAUUCUUAUUACACUGAGAAAAUGGUAAGAAUAAAAGGUGUUUGUUUCUGGUAUAAUAACGUACAGAUUGCACUACUUAAGUGCAACUGUGGCUGAAUCCACAUAGUUAAAAGAAGUAAGUAAAGUAGUUGAUGUUAUACUGCAUGAAAUAAAAAUCUUCUUGCCAUUCCUAAAAAUGUUUUACACAAGUCAUUUUUAUUAUAAUUAGAAGUUGGCAAACAGGAUAUCUUAGAUGCUGCUUAUAGAGCUGAAACGGGUUUAAGAGGGGAAAUAAAUUAUAAUGGGUUCUAUUACCUCAUCUAAUUCAGUAAAUGAUGAGCAUGAAGACCCUGAGAAGACAUGGAAAGCAUUAGUGAGUUUUACCUCUCUCUGCAACCCUGGACAGACACCAUGAUUCACAUGAUUCCACUGUUUCUAGGACAAAGCUUAGGAGUAAUACAUAAAAAAAACAGCUGUACUAUUUUAACUGGAUUCAUACUAGUGGAGACUCACAUGGCUACCCGUACCUAUCCUGAUGCUGCCUACUCUAGAGCUGAUGAGUCAGGAGUAUGCAGCUGCUGUAUUGCAUGCUCAUUGCUAACAAGCUCUCUAUACUGCCUGUAAGCCUCUGAGUCAACAUUCCAUUAAUCAAAGGGUAGAAUGUAAUGGGAAAGAACAGGAGGGUGGGAUUUGUCUUCCUAUAUAAUUCUUAAGUUACCAAAAAAAAAAAAAAAAAAAAAAAAAAAUUAAAAAAAAAAUCAAAGCUUCUGCCCCUUUUUUCUCAUGUCAUCUACUUUACCCUCAGAGUAGGUGAGGUUAGAGCAAAUCUGCAUUCUAAACCAGGUGCUGCUUCUGAUUGUCUUCCCACAUAUAGUCAUGAAUUGGAGCUAACACCUGUUCUCAAUGAAAUCAGUAAGUACCUAGCAGGACCAACAAGCUUAUAGAGCUCAAGGUGAGGAACAGCUCUUUGUUUGCUUGAGGGCUUUUUCCACCAUGAAGGCUAUCUAGAAGGAGUAAUACAGGUAUAACAUGAUGUUAGGCCCUUCUUCAUUAGUUCUUCGGUUUCUGCUGGAAUCUCGCUGACUUGGAGCAAGCAUUGAUUUAGAGGUAAGUUUUACAACUGAGUUAGGAUCUGGGGUUUCAGAUUUUCAACUUUUGUGAUAUCUUUGAUGAUAACAUUGUAGUCAUGUUUCUGUAUGACUGCAUAUAGAUAAAUAGGUGUGUGUG
ensembl:lncRNA